rnacentral:lncRNA from 1 species
AACACAAUUUAAGGACGAGAUGAUGUGAAAAUACUUCCCACAAGCUCUGAGAGAUCGAAAAGAGACAUAAUUUCACUAUGGUGUGGCUGAAUGUAGAGCAAUCCGCCCUCACAGUCCUUCAACUUAAAUAGGGAAAGAUGCAGUUUGAAGAUUAUGAGAGAAAGUUUGAACAACUCUUUAGGUACGCAUCAUGCCUAGUGGACAGAGCAGCAAAGAAAGCAAGGAAGUUCGAGUUAGGAUUGCGCCUUGAGAUUGGUGGAAUAAUGGCAUCCCAUCAAUUUACCACAUAUAGCCGACUAUUGUAGACUGCCCAAGCAAUCUCAAAUAGAUUGGAAAUUGACCAAACUCCUCAACAAGGGGUUGAGCCUUCAGGAAAGAGGAA